UUCUUUGUUUAUAUAAUUUAUAACCUAAACCUAGACAGUUUUGUUUUUAUUUUAAAUAAAACUGAAACUGUCUAAACUAAAAUGGAUAAUAUUCUUGAAGAACUUUUGUUUGGGGACGAAAUUAGCAAAUGCCGUUAUACAUUUAGCAGAUGUACCUACCUCAAAUUAUUCCAGAAGGAUGAGAUGAAAUUAAAUAUAUAUAAACCAUAAUUCAAUAUCCAAUUUAGAGAACAUUUUCGUAUGUCCAGAACUACUUUCCAGGAACUAUUUAAUUGUAUUGGUCAUAUCCACCAAUUUGAAAACAGAAUAAUUCUAUUGGAAAAAAUUAAUGUUUAUGAUGUGGAUGCUAAGUAAACCAGAUAAUUUGUUGCUGGGGAUACGUUUGGUUUGCCAAAGAGCUCUGGACAUAAGAUUUUCACCCAAAUAAUAUAGAAUUACAAAAAAUUGGAAAUAACUAAUCUUGAAUAUCAAUGUGUAUAUUGAGUUUAAUUUUAUUGUAAAUAUUCUAUAAUAUAAUUUUAUUGUAAAUAUUGUAUUAACACAUUUGUGGACACAUUUUCAUAUGCAGACAGUAAUUUCCCUUUGUAAGUACAUGCAUAUAUAGUCGUAUCUGCGAAUGGGUUAAUUGUAAAUCGUAAUCAAUAAAAAUUUUUUGUGAAUCAAUAAAAAACUGGUUUGUUUGAAAAUAAAUGUAGUACAAAUGUG